CUUAAUUUCAUAUUUCAUGUAGCGUUUUCUUUUGUGCGCUGCAAAUGACCCACCAAAAGAAGUUCCUUCCUGAGACCAUUUUCACUGACAGCCACUGUCGCUGUGUACGGAGCUUAGCGCCACCCAAGACGAUUGUGAUUGGUUUAAAGAAAUGC